UUUUCCAGUCCAGAUCACAUAUGUUGAAAGAAUGCCAGUUGGUUCUGCAAUAUCUGAGAAAGAUUCGAAUAUUGAAUUCAGAUAUAGAACUUGGUUUCAGUGUGGAUGUUUUUGGUGUGGUUUCUACCACUGAUGUUGGUCCAGUUGCACCUUGCACUAGAGUUGCUCAAAGACGUAUUGUGACUAAUCCAAAACAUUUUAUGAA